AAAAUAUCACUCGGCUUGGGUUUAAAAUGUAAUGCUUUUUUUAUCUUUCAGCCCAAGAACUUGCCAGUCAAGAUGAAAAACUUCCUCUAAUGGAAUCCAGCUUGAAAGCAGCUCAAGAGCAGCUAAGUGAGCAAAUAGCAGAAACAGUUCGCCAAGAACAGAACAGUAGAAAAUCACAGACACAGCUGAAGACCCUGAGAGAACGUAUUAUAGCUUCUGAAGAAGAAAUUAGUGAUUACAAGUUGAGUUUUAUGAGAAAAGAUUACCAAAUCUGCAAAAGGUGCGGAGCCAGUCUAAAGACAGUAUACAUAGAACACCAAGAAUCUUGAAUCUUCAGAAAGGAAUACUCAGGAUUUAAAAGAGGACAAUAGUUUACUGGAUAGUAAUCACAAAGGACAUGUUGACAAGGUAAUAAUUUUUUUUCAUCACAUAGUGUGUGUGAUCUUUUCCGUAGUAACUGUUGCACAUACUUAUA
rnacentral:lncRNA from 1 species